CAGUCCUUGACCCGCUUUGUUUCUCUCUCAAACCUUAGUCAAUCAAAUGUAUGCAACAGGGUCCUUUAGGCAUCAGGUGUUUGUCCUUAGCCUUAUGAUCCUUCAUUUACACGAGUCAUUUGCAUAUGGAUCUUGGCUGCAGGUGAGUCCUUUCUGUAUCAGUUAGUGUACGUGCUGCCAAAGUGAGUGCUGAUCGGCAGCGUUUAGGACAGCAAGGAGGACAGCUCUCCUGGCGACAUUCUUUGAAGGGAUACGUGUGAACCAACACUGAUCAGGUGUAUCAACCUUCAGGCUACAAGCCGAUUGGUUGGUGCCAGCCACACCCAGGAAGUCCAUCAUCCAGACUCACGCAGGACAGUGCUAUACCCAUCUGCUCAGCGUUUCUUAUUCAAGUUGACACCACAGACACCUCCUCACUGGGACUUCAAACCAAGUGGCUCCCAGCACUGGAAGACUAUGUUGACUCUGCUGCUGCAGUUUAGAGGAGAGAUGUGUCAGCAAGCAGCUGUGAUUUGCAGAUCAGCAGAUGGCCAGGCCUGGUGUGGCCCCGAUU
rnacentral:lncRNA from 1 species